rnacentral:rRNA from 1 species
ACACACAUCGUUUACGGCAUGGACUACGAGGGUAUCUAAUCCUCUUCGCUACCCAUGCUUUCGUUCCUCAGUGUCAGUAAUGAUCCAGAAAGCUGCCUUCGCAAUUGGUAUUCUUUCUAAUAUCUACGAAUUUCACCUCUACACUAGAAAUUCUGCUUUCCUCUAUCAUACUCUAGCUGAAAAGUUUUGAUGGCAGUUCCAGAGUUAAGCUCUGGGAUUUCACCACCAACUUUUUCAACCACCUACGAACUCUUUAAGCCCAGUAAUUCCGAACUACGCUAGGUCCCUUCGUAUUACCGCGGCUGCUGGCACGAAGUUAGCCGGACCUUCUUAUUCGGGUACAGUCAUUUUCUUCCCCGACGAAAGAGCUUUACAACCCAAAGGCCUUCUUCACUCACGCGGCAUCGCUGCAUCAGAGUUUCCUCCAUUGUGCAAGAUUCCCCACUGCUGCCUCCCGUAGGAGUUUGGGCCGUGUCUCAGUCCCAGUGUUGCUGAUCAUCCUCUCAAACCAGCUAUAGAUCGUAGACUUGGUAGGCCAUUACCCCACCAACUAUCUAAUCUAACGCGGGCUAAUCCAAUUCCGAUAAAUCUUUCCCCCGAAGGGCGUAUAAGGUAUUACUCACCGUUUCCAGUGGCUAUUCCUUAGAACUGGGUAUAUUCCCACGCGUUACUAACCCGUCCGCCGCUCCACCCGAAGGUAGCGCUCGACUUGCAUGUGUUAGGCCUGCCGCCAGCGUUCGUUCUGAGCCAGGAUCAAACUCU